rnacentral:misc_RNA from 1 species
GAAGACAAAGGACACAUAUGGCCCAGGCGGCGGCUUAAUUUGUGGUGGCGGAAUAUCCGGCGGUGGAUGAGUCAGCGGUGGUAAAAUAUCUGGAUCCAGCGGCAACCUUGGGGGCAGUUGAUCAGGUGGUGAUGGCCGAGGCGUACCCGGCGGCGGGAGUGGAAUGUCAGGAGGCGUCGGAGGAGUCGGCAGCCGUGGGACAGAAUAGUCCGGUCCCGGGGUGGGCACCUCUGGAAUAUUUGGAGGUUGCGUUUCGACUUCAG